rnacentral:rRNA from 1 species
GAUGAACGCUGGCGGCGUGCCUAAUACAUGCAAGUCGAGCGAACAGAUAAGGAGCUUGCUCCUGUGACGUUAGCGGCGGACGGGUGAGUAAUACGUGGGUAACCUACCUAUAAGACUGGGAUAACCCCGGGAAACCGGGGCUAAUACCGGAUAACAUUUAGAACCGCAUGGUUCUAAAGGGAAAGAUGGUUUUGCUAUCUCUUAUAGAUGGACCCGCGCCGUAUUAGAUAGUUGGUAAGGUCACGGCUUACCAAGGCAACGAUACGUACCCGAACUGGGAGAGGGGUAGGCCACACGAGAACGGGGACGGCGACCAGGCGCCUAAGGCAGGGAGCAGUAGGGUAUGGGACGCAGUAGGGGAGAGUCUGACAGAACGAGGGCGAGUGAGUGGUGGAGGUGUUGGGAUAGUAAAGAUCGGUUAUUGGGGAAGAACAUAUGUGUAAGUAGAUGAGGACAAAGUGACGGUACGUGAACAGAAAGCGACGGCUAACUACGUG